AGCGAACGCUGGCGGCGUGCCCAACACAUGCAAGUCGAGCGCGAAAAGGGCAACCUGAGUAGAGCGGCGCACGGGUGCGUAACACGUGGGUAAUCUGCCUUAGAGUCGAGGAUAACCUUCCGAAAGGUUGGCUAAUACUCGGUAAGCUUACGGUGUCUUCGGACGCUGUGGGAAAAGUAGGCCUCUGUUUACAAGCUUACGCUCUGAGAUGAGCCCGCGGCCCAUCAGCUAGUUGGCAGUGUAACGGACCACCAAGGCAACGACGGGUAGCUGGUCUGAGAGGACGACCAGACACACUGGGACUGAGACACGGCCCAGACUCCUACGGGAGGCAGCAGUGGGGAAUGUUGGACAAUGGGCGCAAGCCUGAUCCAGCCAUGCCGCGUGCAGGAUGAAGGCCUUCGGGUUGUAAACUGCUUUUGUACGGAACGAAAAGACUCUGGUUAAUACCUGGGGUCCAUGACGGUACCGUAAGAAUAAGCACCGGCUAACUACGUGCCAGCCGCCGCAGUAAAAC
rnacentral:rRNA from 1 species